CAGGAAGAUGGAAGGGACAGCUUCAUAAGGUAGUGAGGCUUCUGUCUCUGAAAGCAUGCAAGACAAGGCCAGAGGAGCAUGUAGUGGAAGGAUUGGAGGAGAUUCAAGCAUCCAAGGACAAUCUCCCUGGCCCUUCAGGUCCUGCAGGUGGUUGGUUUUGUGGUGGGAAUUGCACAGCUUUUCCCAGCAUCCUCUGCAUUGCUCAGGCCUGCCCCUUGUAAGUUGUCUGUUUCCCACCGUGGCCUCUGUCAUAGGCCAAGUGCUCACCCUCUACUACUUCUCACUUUGUUCCAUUGGGGGCCGAUUUGAAUUCAGGGUCAAACUAAGGAGGGUACAUUUUUCUUCCAAGGGGCAACAGGGCAAUGAAAUGGCAGCCACUGGACUAGCAUUUAUUGAGCAGUUUAUUUGUCCAAUGUCGCAUUCUAGUAAGUGACAGAAAUAAAUUGUUAGGAGUCUGGCGGGUAGUCCUGUGGUUGCACCCUGCUCUGUCAUGUAGCUGAGUAAUUUUGGCCAAGUUACUCAGCCUAAGUCCCCAAUUCCUGGUUUCUGGGUCCACUGAGGUUUAUACCAGGUUGUUGCUUCAGCCCCUAAGUCACACAAUGAAGUUAGGGAUUCUUGGGGAUUUAAAGCUGGAAAGCUGUUGCAACCCAAAGGGCUAGGGUUUCUAGGUUUUCUUUCAAAGAAUGGCUAGAGAGAUGUUUACAGUGGGAAGUGCUUCAUAGGUCCCCUGGUCAUGUUCUGGGUAGAAGGCAGCAGGGCUCCACAGCGGGUUGGGUUCUGGGGAAAGCAGCUCCACACAAAAAGGUAAAGGCUGUGGCUCAGAUGCCCAGUCCCACUCCAGGGCUGAAGACUUGUGGGAAGGCUGGCCUUCCACGUUCCGGUCCUUCCCUGUAGGUGCGAGCCCUAGAGAGCUGUUCUGCACCAUGUUCUGCACACCCUGACAUCUCUGGAGAGUCCUUCAUUCAACAGAUCAGGUGCCUCUUCCUUAGCUCUGGUCUGGGCACACAUCUCAUGAGCCCAGUCCACAGCGGUUGGCAUGCAUGGGAGGCAUGGGCUAUUCUGGAAGCGGCCAGUCCCAGACGUUCUAGCGGGAUGGUGUAACCAGCUCCAUGAACCCCUAUGUUUUAUAUAAUCUUCUCCCUUAACUACUUGACCCUUUGAGUUGUUUCCCAAAAAUGAUGGACCUCAAGUGAUCCUCCAGCCAGGGCCUCCGAAAGUGCUGGGAUUAUAGGUGUCAGCCACCACACUGGCCUGAAAUGAUGGAUUUUGUACCAGACAAAGGAGUUGAGACUCUGAAAGCCCUAGGGCAGACUUCCUGACGCCAAGAUUCAUUAUUCCCCCCCACAACCUGCCCCCAUGCAGGUAGCCCCUUGUGAGAUAUACCCCAAUCUGCCCCCAGGUACUGUGGCCUCCUCCUUUAAAAGUCCAUGACAUCCCUUAGUCGAGAGAUGGGUUUGAGGCAGCUUCUCCCGUUGUCCUAUUAAAAAUUCCUUUCUUCUUUGGCAAUCCUCAUAGUCUCAAUAAUUGGAGUUUUGUGCGACCAGCAAUUGGACCUACACGGAACCCCCCCAGCGGUUUCGACUAGAGGAGGGAGGGGAGAGGCCGAGCUGCUAGGGAGUGGCGCUGCCUUAGGGCCGAGGGUGGAGCUUUCCCCGACCGGGAAUGGGCUGGGCCCAGCCUACACGUGAAGGCAGGACUGAGCGUGGGCAGGCGGUCCCUUGAGGAGUCCGGGAGGCAGCCACCGCCAGACCGAAUCCCGGGAGUCCCCACGUGACUCUGAGUCGCCGAUCACCGGAUGCCCCAGAUUCUUGGGACCCAAUCCCGGAUUUCAGAUCCUCAGGAGCUUGCAAGCCCGAGCUCGGAUUUCUUCCUAAACUUGAUUCCCGGAACGGGACGUCCGGCCGGAUUCCGGAUCCCCAGAUCCCGUAGAAGAUUGUCCGAUCCCGACCGGAUUCCCGAGCCCGAGAUUCCUGGACCGCAGGCCCAGGCUCCUGCCCCGCCGCGGGUUCCCAGCGCCCCGCGCCCCACUCCAAGCGCCCCGCAUGGCGGGGUCGUGCGCCCGGUCCGGGGCGCAGCGCGCCGGCAGCUGCUGGCAGGACCCGCUGGCCGAGGCACUGAGCAGGGGUCGGCCGCUAGCUGGGUCCUCGGGCCGGGGCUGCGCGCGGAGCCGGCCGCUCAGCGUGGUCUACGUGCUGACCCGGGAGCCGCGGCCCGGGGUGGAGCCUGGGGAGGGCACCGAGACCGAGCCGCGGCCCCUGCGCUGCCUGCGCGAGGCUUGCGCGCAGCUCUCCGGGCCGCGGCCGCCGCCGCAGCUGCGCAGCCUGCCCUUUGGGACACUGGCGCUGGGCGACACCGCGGCGCUGGACUCCUUCUACAACGCGGACGUGGUGGUUCUGGAGGUGAGCAGCUCUCUGGCACAGCCCUCCCUGUUCUACCACCUCGGUGUGCGUGAGAGCUUCAGCAUGACCAACAACGUGCUCCUCUGCUCCCAGGCAGACCUCCCCGACCUGCAGGCCCUGCGGGAGGAUGUUUUCCAGAGGAACUCGGAUUGCGUUGGCAGCUACACACUGAUCCCCUAUGUGGUGACAGCCACUGGUCGGGUGCUGUGUGGUGACGUAGGGCUUCUCAGAGGCCUGGCUGAUGGCCUCGUACAGGCUGGAGUGGGCACUGAGGCCCUGCUCACCCCUCUGGUGGGCCGGCUUGCCCGCCUGCUGGAGGCCACACCCACGGACUCUUGUGGCUAUUUCCGGGAGACCAUUCGGCAGGAUAUCAGGCGGGCACGGGAGCGGUUCAGCGGGCAGCAGCUGCGGCAGGAGCUGGCCCGCCUGCAGCGGAGACUGGACAGCGUGGAGCUGCUGAGCCCCGACAUCAUCAUGAACUUGCUGCUGUCCUACCGCGACGUGCAGGACUACUCGGCCAUCAUUGAGCUGGUGGAGACGCUGCAGGCCUUGCCCACCUGCGAUGUGGCCGAGCAGCACAAUGUCUGCUUCCACUACACGUUCGCCCUCAACCGGAGGAACAAGCCUGGGGACCGGGAGAAGGCACUGGCUGUCCUGCUACCACUGGUACAGUUUGAGGGCUCUGUGGCACCUGAUCUAUACUGCAUGUGUGGCCGUGUGUACAAGGACAUGUUCUUCAGCUCUGGCUUCCAGGAUGGUAGACACCGAGAGCAGGCCUAUCACUGGUACCGCAAGGCUUUUGAUGUGGAGCCCAGCCUCCACUCGGGCAUCAAUGCCGCUGUGCUCCUCGUUGCUGCUGGCCAGCACUUUGAGGACUCCGAGGAGCUCCGGCUAAUAGGCAUGAAGCUGGGCUGUCUGCUGGCCCGAAAAGGCUGUGUGGAGAAGAUGCAGUAUUACUGGGAUGUAGGUUUCUACCUGGGAGCCCAGAUCCUCGCCAAUGACCCCACCCAGGUGGUGCUGGCUGCAGAACAGCUGUACAAGCUCAAUGCCCCCAUAUGGUACCUGGUGUCUGUGAUGGAAACCUUCCUGCUCUACCGACACUUCAGACCCAUGCCACAGCCGUCUGGAGGACCUCCACGCCAUGCCCACUUCUGGCUACACUUCUUGCUACAGUCCUGCCAGCCAUUCAACACAACCUCUCCCCAGGGGGAUCAGUGCUUGGUGCUGGUCCUGGAGAUGAACAAGGUGCUGCUGCCAGCGCAGGUGGAGGUUCGGGGUAGGGACCCGGUGAGCGCAGUGAUCCUGAGCCUGCUGCAUGGGGAGACCCAGGACUUUCCCGCCAGGUGGACCUUCCCAGUUGCCUCCAUCUGCGGAGUCAGUGCCUCCAAGCGGGACGAGCGCUGCUGCUUCCUUUAUGCGCUGCCCCCCGCCCAGGACGUCCAGCUGUGCUUCCCCAGCGUAGGGCACUGCCAGUGGUUCUGCAGCCUGAUCCAGGCCUUGGUGACGAAUCCGGAUUCCUCGGCGCCCACGGAAGCGGCAGGGGGCGUGGGAGAGGUGCUGGAGUUUGAUUAUGAGUACACGGAGACCGGCGAGCGGCUGGUGCUGGGCAAGGGCACGUACGGGGUGGUAUACGCGGGCCGCGAGCGGCACACGAGGGUACGCAUCGCCAUCAAGGAGAUCCCGGAGCGGGACAGCAGGUUCUCUCAGCCCCUGCAUGAGGAGAUCGCUCUUCACAAACGCCUGCGCCACAAGAACAUCGUGCGCUACCUGGGCUCAGCUAGCCAGGGCGGCUACCUUAAGAUCUUCAUGGAGGAAGUGCCUGGAGGUAGCCUGUCCUCCUUGCUGCGGUCAGUGUGGGGACCCCUGAAGGACAACGAGAGCACCAUCAGCUUCUACACCCGCCAGAUCCUGCAGGGACUCAGCUACCUGCACGACAACCAUAUUGUGCACCGGGACAUCAAGGGGGACAAUGUGCUGAUCAAUACCUUCAGUGGGCUGCUCAAGAUUUCUGACUUCGGCACCUCCAAGCGGCUGGCGGGCAUCACACCCUGCACUGAGACCUUCACAGGGACCCUGCAGUAUAUGGCUCCAGAAAUCAUUGACCAGGGCCCACGAGGGUAUGGGAAGGCGGCUGACAUCUGGUCAUUGGGCUGCACUGUAAUCGAGAUGGCCACAGGUCGCCCACCCUUCCACGAGCUGGGGAGCCCACAGGCUGCCAUGUUUCAGGUGGGCAUGUACAAGGUGCAUCCACCAAUGCCCAGUUCUCUGUCUGCUGAAGCCCAAGCCUUCCUCCUUCGAACUUUUGAACCAGACCCCCGCCUCCGAGCCAGCGCCCAAGCACUGCUGAGGGACUCCUUCCUACAGCCUGGGAAGAGGAGCCGCAGCCCUGGCUCUCCCCAACAUGCUCCACGGCCCUCAGAUGUCCCUUCCACCAGUUCUACUCCUUCAGCUGACGCGACCACACAGUCCCAGACUUUCCCACGCCCUCAGGCACCCUCUCAACACCCGCCCAGCCCACCGAAGCGCUGCCUCAGUUAUGGGGACACCAGCCAGCUCCGGGUGCCUGAGGAGCCUGGGGCCGAGGAGCCUGCAUCCCCGGAGGAGAGUUCGGGGCUGAGCCUGUUGCACCAGGAGAGCAAGCGCCGGGCCAUGCUGGCCGAGGUGCUGGAGCAGGAGCUGGCCACGCUGGCGGAGAGUCUGCUCCUGGAGCAGGAGCAGGAGCAGGAGCAGGGUUCCCAUCUGGGCAGGGAUCAUGUGGAACAGCUGCUGCGCUGCCUCGGGGCGCACAUCCACACUCCCAACCGCCGGCAGCUGGUCCAGGAGCUCCGGGCGCUGCAAGGGCAGCUUCGAGCCAAGGGCCUUGGGCCUACACUUCUGCACGGACCGCUCUUUGCCUUCCCGGAUGCGGUGAAGCAGAUCCUCCGCAGGCGCCAGAUCCGCCCACACUGGAUGUUCGUGCUGGACUCGCUGCUCAGCCGCGCGGUGCGGGCCGCCCUGGCUGUGCUGAGCCCGGGCUUCGCCAAGUCCUGGCUGAGAAGGAACGUGAGUGCCAGGCCCUAGUGCAGCGGGCGCUGCAGCGGGUGAAUGCGGAGGCCAGGGCCGACGCCCUGGCCUCAGAGCCCCCAGCUGCUCUCCCAGCGGACCAGGGCCUGGUGCAGUGGCUACAGGAACUGAGUGUGGAUUCAGCCACCAUCCAAACGCUGCUGAACCACAGCUUUACCCUCCAUGCCCUGCUCACCUGUGCCACUCGAGAUGACCUCAUCUACACCCGCAUCAGGGGAGGGAUGGUAUGCCGCAUCUGGAGAGCCAUCUUGGCACAGCGAGCAGGACCCAUGCCAGUUACCCCUGGACCCCGGGAAGCUGAGUGAACACAUCAGAG